UAUGUAGGGUGCAAGCGUUAAUCGGAAUUACUGGGCGUAAAGCGUGCGCAGGCGGUUGUGUAAGUCUGACGUGAAAUCCCCGGGCUUAACCUGGGAAUGGCGUUGGAGACUGCAUAGCCAGAGUGUGUCAGAGGGGGGUAGAAUUCCACGUGUAGCAGUGAAAUGCGUAGAGAUGUGGAGGAACACCGAUGGCGAAGGCAGCCCCCUGGGAUAACACUGACGCUCAUGCACGAAAGCGUGGGGAGCAAACAGG
rnacentral:rRNA from 1 species